AGCGAACGCUGGCGGCAGGCCUAACACAUGCAAGUCGAACGAACCCUUCGGGGUUAGUGGCGGACGGGUGAGUAACACGUGGGAACGUGCCUUUAGGUUCGGAAUAACUCAGGGAAACUUGUGCUAAUACCGAAUGUGCCCUUCGGGGGAAAGAUUUAUCGCCUUUAGAGCGGCCCGCGUCUGAUUAGCUAGUUGGUGAGGUAAUGGCUCACCAAGGCUACGAUCAGUAGCUGGUCUGAGAGGAUGACCAGCCACAUUGGGACUGAGACACGGCCCAAACUCCUACGGGAGGCAGCAGUGGGGAAUCUUGCGCAAUGGGCGAAAGCCUGACGCAGCCAUGCCACGUGGAUGAUGAAGGUCUUAGGAUUGUAAAAUCCUUUCACCGGUGAAGAUAAUGACUGUAGCCGGAGAAGAAGCCCCGGCUACUUCGUGCCAGCCGCCGCCGUAAGAC
rnacentral:rRNA from 1 species